rnacentral:rRNA from 1 species
GAACGGAGAUUAUACGCAGAGGCGAUUUCGGUCAAAUCAUGUAAAAUCUUAGUGGCGGACGGGUGAGUAACGCGUGGGUAACCUGCCUUACACUGGGGGAUAACACUUAUAAAUAGGUGCUAAUACCGCAUAAGCGCACGAAGCCGCAUGGAUUUGUGUGAAAAACUCCGGUGGUGUAAGAUGGACCCGCGUCUGAUUAGCUUGUUGGCGGGGGUAACGGCCCACCAAGGCGACGAUCAGUAGCCGGCCUGAGAGGGUGGACGGCCACAUUGGGACUGAGACACGGCCCAAACUCCUACGGGAGGCAGCAGUGGGGGAUAUUGGACAAUGGGGGGAACCCUGAUCCAGGGGGGGGGCGAAAAAAAAGAAGUAUUUCGGUCCCCCCCGCUCUGUCAGCAGGGAAGAAAGAAAUGACGGUACCUGACCAAGAAGCCCCGGCUAACUACGUGCCAGCCGCCGCGGUAAUACGUAGGGGGCAAGCGUUAUCCGGAAUUACUGGGUGUAAAGGGAGCGUAGACGGUUAAGUAAGUCUGGAGUGAAAGGCCGGGGCCCAACCCCGGGACUGCUCUGGAAACUAUUCAACUUGAGUGCAAGAGAGGUAAGCCCAAUUCCU